GGGAAAGUAGCUCAUUGGUAGAGUGCUUGCCUUAGAUGCAUGAGGCCCUGGGUUCGGUUCCUCAGCACCCCA
rfam:Dipodomys ordii contig_2418, whole genome shotgun sequence.